UACAUGUGGGGCAAGCGUUGUUCGGAAUUACUGGGCAUAAAGGGUGCGUAGGCGGUUUGUUAAGUCACUGGUGAAAGUUUUCGGCCCAACCGGAAAAUUGCCUGUGAUACUGGCGAACUUGAGUGCGUGAGGGGUGGGGGGAACGAGCAGUGUAGCGGUGUAAUGCGUAGAUAUUGCUCGGAAGGCCGGAGCCGAAGGGGCCCCACUGGUACGUAACUGACGCUGAGGCACGAAAGCGUGGGGAGCAAACAGG
rnacentral:rRNA from 1 species